AAUGCUCCAAUUUGUAAGUCGCUCUGGAUAAGAGCGUCUGCUAAAUGACUUAAA
rfam:Salmo salar isolate Sally breed double haploid chromosome ssa05, whole genome shotgun sequence.